GAUUUCAGCCGUAGAAAGUAAUUUUGUGCCAUGCGUGGUGGUUCAUACCUGUAAUCCCAGCACUUUGGGAGGCUGAGGAGGAUUUGACAGCUAAGGAUAUUGAAGAAAUUAUUGAUGAGCUCAAGGCUGGCAAAAUCCCAAAACCUGGGCCAAGGAGUGGACGCUUCUCUUGUGAGCCAGCUGGAGGUCUUACCUCUUUGACUGAACCACCCAAGGGACCUGGAUUUGGUGUACAAGCAGGCCUUUAAUUUAUAUUGAACUGUA
rnacentral:sRNA from 1 species